AUUGAACGCUGGCGGCAUGCCUUACACAUGCAAGUCGAACGGCGGCGGACCUUCGGGUGCCGGCGAGUGGCGAACGGGUGAGUAAUGCAUCGGAACGUACCUUUCAGUGGGGGAUAACGUAGCGAAAGUUACGCUAAUACCGCAUAUUCUGUGAGCAGGAAAGCAGGGGAUCGCAAGACCUUGCGCUGAUUGAGCGGCCGAUGUCAGAUUAGCUAGUUGGUGAGGUAAAGGCUCACCAAGGCGACGAUCUGUAGCGGGUCUGAGAGGAUGAUCCGCCACACUGGGACUGAGACACGGCCCAGACUCCUACGGGGGGCAGCAGUGGGGAAUUUUGGACAAUGGGGGCAACCCUGAUUCAGCCAUGCCGCGUGAGUGAAGAAGGCCUUCGGGUUGUAAAGCUCUUUCGGCCGGGAAGAAAUCGCACAGGCUAAUACCUUGUGUGGAUGACGGUACCGGAAUAAGAAGCACCGGCUAACUACGUGCCAGCCGCCGCCGUAAAAC
rnacentral:rRNA from 1 species